AAAACCAGCCCUGAGUUAAUAGAAACAGUAAGAACUGCCAAUGCUGGAGUCAGGCAUAACACCGUGUGGAGGUGGAGGAACGUGGCAAGCCAGGUAGCAUCAGAGAAGCAGGAAAGUUGAUGUUCUGGGUGGAAGAGUUCUUGGUGAUAAGAAAGUAUCCAGGUUGUUGGCAGUUAAUGUGGUGCUGACUAAUGUUUGGGAAGGAGAAUAAAACUCAGUAUUGAAAUGCGGGUUAAUAGCAGGUAUUGAGAUUCUAAGGGCAAAUACUAAAGUUAUCUGGUAAACAGCAUGAAAUUAUGGGAGGAUCUUGGGCUGUCCAUGGAGUUGUCCAUCAGUGAUUGUGUGUUUACGGGAUUGGAUGUAUAGAUUAGGAAGACAUGGCUAAGAACAAAAUCAAUGUUGCAUGCAAUUAUUGUAAUGUGGUAACCCGAGAGGCAUAGACAGAACUGUGACCAAUAG